rnacentral:rRNA from 1 species
CUAUAGCGUAGUGAAUCAUCGAAUCUUUGAACGCACUUUGCACCUCGUGGCUCCUGUCACGAGGUAUACUUGUUUGAGUAUUCGUAGUCAUCUCACCUCUCCUUCGGGGCGGUGGACGCUGGGAUUCGAUACGCCGAUGCGAGUCGUCUCCUAAAAGUCAUGGCCCGUUCGUGGAAGGUCUCCGCAGUGACCUGACCGACCAUUUGGAUAACGUCCUACAAUUGUCGCGUCAGUGUCAACUACUGUGUUGAUCAACCUCGGCCAUCCGGAUCAAGCAGGCGUCACUAACCAGGCGCUUGUGCGAUCAGCUCUAACCUACCACUGAAUCUCAAAUCAAGUAAGGAUACCCGCUGAACUUAAGCAUAUCAAUAAGCGGAGG